CCUACGGGAGGCAGCAGUGGGGGAUAUUGCACAAUGGGGGAAACCCUGAUGCAGCGACGCCGCGUGGGUGAAGAAGCGCCUCGGCGCGUAAAGCCCUGUCAGCAGGGAAGAAAAUGACGGUACCUGAAGAAGAAGCCCCGGCUAACUACGUACCAGCAGCCGCGGUAAUACGUAGGCGGCAAGCGUUAUCCGGAUUUACUGGGUGUAAAGGGGGCGCAGACGGCGAUGCAAGUCAGUAGUGAAAGCCCGGGGCCCAACCCGGGGAUUGCACUUGGAACUGCGUGGCUUGAGUGCAGGAGGGGCAGGCGGAAUUCCUGGUGUAGCGGUGAAAUGCGUAGAUAUCAGGAGGAACACCGGUGGCGAAGGCGGCUGGCUGGACUGCAACUGACGUUGAGGCCCGAAAGCGUGGGGAGCAAACAGGAUUAGAUACCCUUGUAGUC
rnacentral:rRNA from 1 species